AUAGCGUAUAUUAAAGUUGUUGAGGUUAAAAAGCUCGUAGUUGAACCUUGGGCCCAGCCGGCCGGUCCGCCUCACCGCGUGCACUGGCUCGGUUGGGCCUUUCUUUCUGAAGAACCCCAUGCCCUUCACUGGGUGUGGUGGGGAACCAGGACUUUUACCGUGAACAAAUUAGAUCGCUUAAAGAAGGCCUAUGCUCGAAUAUAUUAGCAUGGAAUAAUACAAUAGGACGUGUGUUUCUUUUUUGUUGGUUUCUAGGACCGCCGUAAUGAUUAAUAGGGACAGUCGGGGGCAUCAGUAUUCAAUUGUCAGAGGUGAAAUUCUUGGAUUUAUUGAAGACUAACUACUG
rnacentral:rRNA from 1 species